UGGAAUAGGACCCUGUCCUCCUAUUUUCAGUUGGUUUUGGCAGCGCGAGGACUAGGGUAAUGAUUAAUAGGGAUAGUUGGGGGCAUUAAUAUUUAAUUGUCAGAGGUGAAAUUCUUGGAUUUAUGAAAGAUUAACUUCUGCGAAAGCAUCUGCCAAGGAUGUUUUCAUUAAUCAAGAACGAAAGUUAGGGGAUCGAAGACGAUCAGAUACCGUCGUAGUCUUAACCAUAAACGAUGCCGACCAGCGAUUAGGAGACGUUGAAUACAAAACACCACCAUCGGUGCGGUCGUCCUUGGCGUCGGUCUUUCGGGGCCGGCGCGGGGACGGCUUAGCCCGGUGGCACCGGUGAAUGACUCCCU
rnacentral:rRNA from 1 species